rnacentral:rRNA from 1 species
UACGUAGGGGGCAAGCGUUGUCCGGAUUUAUUGGGCGUAAAGAGCGUGUAGGCGGCCUGGUAGGUCAGCUGUGAAAACUCGAGGCUCAACCUCGAGACGUCGGUUGAAACCACCUGGCUAGAGUCCGGAAGAGGAGAGUGGAAUUCCCGGUGUAGCGGUGAAAUGCGCAGAUAUCGGGAAGAACACCCCGUGGCGAAGGCGGCUCUCUGGGGACGGUACUGACGCUGAGACGCGAAAGCGUGGGGAGCGAACAGG